GAUAAGGUCAGCUAAAUAAGCUUUCGGGCCCAUACCCCGAAAAUGAUGGUUAAACCCCAUCCCCUAUCA
rnacentral:tRNA from 3 species